AGGUUGAUAGCUUAAAUUAGAGCGACGGACUUUUGAUUCGUAGGUGAAGUAUAGAUCCUCCUCAACCUG
rnacentral:tRNA from 1 species